rnacentral:lncRNA from 1 species
GAGCAGGGUGGGCUGGGUGCUGGAGCGAGUAGGACGUUAACAGCCAAUAGUUUGCACCUGUCCGUCAACUCGCACCACCCACUCAGCGCCGCUCGGGCCAGCGCGGGCGGCCGCUUCGCUGGUACCGCGUUCCUCCGAGGGUCGGGCACCAUGUGGGGGGCGGGCAGCGGAGUGGGGAAGGGGGAAUAAAACCAACCCGAGAGGCCCCGGCCCCGGAGGGGAAUGCAGGAGGGGCGCCUGCACCCUGACCGCGCGCGGCCAGUAGGGGAGGAACCCUGAUCCCAGACCAAAAGCCCGACCUGCCAGGGAGGGGCCGCCAGGGUGUUAGAGAGAGUUCCGGGGUCCGAGACGGCCGGGUUGGGGGAGAGGUUCUGCCCCGGGCCGCUGGGUACCCUUCGGGCCAGCGCCCGUGUCCCGCGUCAUAGUUCGGGGCUGCUCCCUCUCCCGGGAGCGCCGCCCUUGCAGGCUGUGCAGCCUGUUCUAGGCCGUGGGAGAGCACUAAAGAAGACUUUCAAGCCACUCCUCGAAGAGCUUCUGAUCCGUGGGGGAGAUGAAAUCUGCCUUCCUUAUUUACAUGACCCUGGAUGUCUGCCAUUUUGAAGAAUUCCAGCUCCUGUGGAGUCGCCUGCAGGAAACACACCUCAAGCCUUCUCGCUGGACCCAAUGAAGGAUCCUUUCUAGUACUGUGUUGAGCUACAAUGGUGUCUGAGGCAAGAGGAAAAUGUGCACCCCUGUAUACACUUAUCAAAACAUCUUCCAAUAUUUUGAACCAAGUAGAAGAAAGUUAAAAGCUCUUUUCCCACCACCCACCCAAAUGACUGUGUAUAAAGCCUCACUGUUGUCCAAUGUGUUUGCAACUGUUUGUCAGCCCAUGUAAACAUGCCCAGUGGGAAAGACACAAUGGUUGUGCUGCCCCAGAACCAGGGCCGUUUGGAAAUGACUCUUCUGUUGCACAAUAAUGCCAGGUCAUAAAACAAACAAACAACAACAGCCUAUCUUUAGUUAACAUUUUGAUAUUUUGUUCAGUGUGGAUUGGUUUUGCAUUAAUUUUGAUUUUUAAAAAUCCUGCAUGAAACUAUUAUUUACCUUGAUUGGUGUGUUUUUGGCAUUUCCUUACAGUUUUUCAAUAACAGCUUUUUUGAGAUAUCAUUCACAUAUCACAGACUUUAUAUAUUUAAAGUGAACAGUGGAAUGGGUUUUAAUAUAUUCUCAGAGUUUUCAACAAUCACAAUUUUAAAACAUUUUAAUUACCUUUCCCCAAAACACAUUAGCAGUCAUCUUCCUUCCCCCUAAGCCCUAGCCGAACACUAAUCUAUUUUCUGCCUCCAUUGAUAUACCCAAGAGAAAUGAAAACAUAUGUCCACACAAAAAUGUUCACUGCAGCAGUAUUCAUAAUAGCCAAAAGAUAGCUCCCUUAAGUUUUGCAUUUGGCCCUGCUCCUUCCUUGAGCUAAAAGAGGGAAAAUCCCUCAUUCUUUCCCCAACACUUCUCUCCAAGAAGAUUGUGUCACAAAAUUCUCCCUCUUUCCAUACUGUGAGUUGUUUUUAUAGCUUGAUCCAGCUGAGACAUCCACCAGUCUUUUUUUCUUCUUCUUUUCCCCAAAG